rnacentral:tRNA from 1 species
UAGAUUGAUGCCCGUAGGCUGAGGCGUUUAGCUGUUAACUAAAAUUUUGUAGGAUCGAGACCUGCCUGUCUAG